rnacentral:rRNA from 1 species
GACGAACCGUGCGAACGUUGUUCGGAAUCACUGGGCUUAAAGGGCGCGUAGGCGGACCUCCAAGUCCGGGGUGAAAUCUUUCGGCUUAACCGGAAAAGUGCCUUGGAUACUGGGGGUCUCGAGGGAGGCAGGGGCGGGAUGGAACUUCCGGUGGAGCGGUGAAAUGCGUUGAUAUCGGAAGGAACGCCGGUGGCGAAAGCGAUCCGCUGGACCUCUUCUGACGCUGAGGCGCGAA